GGAGAAUUACGUUCUGCUGCAUCUGGAGAGGAUAAGAAUUUGCAGGAAUCGUGGUCAUCUUGUAAGCUCCAAGGAGAAACCCUCACUUUCCUGGGAUGACGGAGAGAAGGAAUCACAGUUCCACCACAGCAAAUAAGUGUCAUCACUUUCCUUUCAGAUCCAAGGAAGUAUUUGGGUUUUUUUUUAAAGAAGCAAAAGAAGAACCCUCUUCUCUAGCAAGCAACAACAAAGUAAAAUACUGGCACCUUUCUUUGAGCUGAAAAGAAAAACAUCAUCAGAAAUGCUGUGGGGCUGUGUGCUGGGUGUUCAUGGUCCUCAGCUGUGUCUGAGAUGACAGCUCAGGAGCUUUUAGUCCUUCUCAGGAACUUUUUAGUCUCCUCAGCCAUAACAUAGGAGUCAAAUAUAAGCUCACACUGUUUUUUAUGGUUAGUGGAUUGCACUACUGCACUGACAAAACCCAUGCUUUUAUAUACCUUAAACCCUUGUAGACACAGGAGAUUUAAAGAAAGGACAGUCUAAAUAAAUAAAUAAAUACUGCUAUCCCUAGCAGAGAUCUCAGCACUGCAGCACUCCAUUCACUUGCAAAUAGAGUUUAUGAUCCUGAGUCCCCUGGGCAGGAAUGAAUUCUGCUCCUCAACCAGCACAGGUGCAGGGCAGGGGAUGGACAGUGCUGCAGGUCCCAUGGGCGGAGUGAGACACUUGCCUUUGCUCUCCAUCUCCCAUUGCUGGAGCAGGGCCAGUGUUUCCAGACUCCUGCUACCUUGCUCAGCCCAAGCCCACGGCACUUUCUGUUUGUUUAACACUGUCUGGCAGCCUUGAGAUAACGGGGAUGUUUCUGGCUGGCCUCACAGCUCCCCAGCACCAAAUGAUCUGCAGACCCAGGCUGCUUCAGACACUCCAGAUCCCCAAGUGGGCCAUAAAGCCCAACAUAAGCAGGUCAGAGCUCAACUGUAGGUUACUGCAGGAGCUCCAAGAUACUUGCUAGGCACCCAGGCACUCUGCUCAUCCCCUAGUCUUCAGCAAAGUCUCAAGAAGGGUUGGCCACAGAAAUCCCUGUGUAGGAAAUGCCUUUCAGCUCAAAACAAAUGAGAAUGAGUGCAUCAAAAAUAUCACAUGUAUACACAUGUGUAUGUAUGCGUGUAUGUAUAUUUAUGAACUUUCCCUUUCAAAGACGUGCUGAGGAUGGGAAGACUUACAGGCCCUUCAAUGGUGCAGAGCCGUCAGCAAGGCGAAAAUAGGAAAGUACAGCAGCUGCAAGUCCUCAUACAACAUCUCACUUAAAAUGUCAUGUGUGCUACUUGGUUUAAAUUGUCACCCCUCCAGCAACCACAAACAAUGCAGAAACAGCAGAUGUGUUUUCUAUUUAGAAUUAAACAGUUUAUCUCAACCACUGUCAUUGUUACAGAGGGAAAAUAAAUAAAUAUCCAUGUUAAUGUAAACU
rnacentral:lncRNA from 7 species